rnacentral:lncRNA from 1 species
UUAAUUGGAAGCUCUGCCUUUUCUUCAUCUGAGUUUCUCCCCAGGUCUUUAUCUUAUGGUGAGGAAACCCUCUUCAGUCUAGAGGACGAACACCAACUGGAAACAAUACGCUCCUGAGCUUUUGCUUGCGGAGUUAAAUGAAUAAAUGCAGUAAUAAGUAAAUCAAUAGAUAAAGUGAUAUUUAAAAUCUUCCUUGUGAUAUAUUUUAGGCUUGGAGUCGUUUCUAACUUGGAGACUUAACAUUAGAGUCUAGUGGAGGCAGCUCCAUGCUGUCCACAGCAUGUGAACUGUUUUUGGACUUCCACCAGCCAUUCUGUUUGCCCAAAUAUUACAGGUCUGGGAAAAUAAAGGAAGCACCACAAAGAGAACAAAGAUGUUGAUUCCUAGAGACACUGGUCUAUGCCUUUUCACUGACUGUCAAUGCAGAGUAUUUAUUUCACCUUGGAGAGACUAUGAGUAGUUACCCUCAUGCUCUUUGUCCAAAGUCAGUCAGUGAGGUCAACUGGUUUGUACCCUCCCCCUAUCUUACAGCCCCAUUUAGCAUCUCAGAUGAAGUACAUCUCUUAUCCAUGAGUACUAGAUUUUUGUUGCUGUUGUUGUUUUUGUCUUCUGCGGGGCCCUGCAGGAUUACACUUCUUUCUUUCCAAACCCCCCAUUCUUAAGCCGUUCCUCAGGCUCUGGCUCUGGCUACCUGGCUGAGCUUCCUACCACAGAUUCAAUCUGUUCAUGAAUCAUCACCAGGAAGAUCUUCCUAAAACAGAACUGGAAGCAUUUCCUUCCAGCCUUCAAGCAACAGUUGGAUUUGGCCGUGCUGCCUCCAUCCCUAACAUGGUAGCAAACCUCCGCAGCUGUAUCCUAACAUAUUCUCAAGCCUGCUCUCUCCGUAGCCUCUCCUGCUUUCCUCCAGCUACUCUGGCACUAGUUCGAGCCCUGAAAUCUGAUCAUUUCCUGCCUUUCUGCCUUGUUCACACCAAGUCCACCAGAUCUCUUUCUUUUCCUUUAAUAUACAUGUUUCAAAACCUAUCUACUGUGAUAUUCUUUCCCCUCUCCCACACGUUUUUUUUUUUUUUUUCCCUUUACCUAAACACCAUCACAUUACCUUUACAAAACAAAAACAAAAAAACACCUAUGGAUACGUACAUCUUCACCAACAUCUACAAAAUCUUUCUUGAUGCAACCAGUUCUAGCUGACUUUCUUUUCUAUUCUGGCUAUAUAUUUCAUCUUUAUUAUUUUUUCCACUGUGUCAUAAAUCCUAACUUGUACUUUGGUUGGUUUCAUCUGCUUCCUUGCAUGCCUCCUUAUCCCAGACUAGAAGCAGCUUCUGGAUAUCAACUUUAUUCCUCACCUUUAUAUCUUCAAUAGCUCUUCCAAAAUGCCCACCUCUUAGGGCAAGCUCUGUUAGACUGAUACCUCUAAGAGAGGAACCUUCCUUACUAUACAGUGUCUCACUUGUCCUAAUAUAAUUUCCUCGCCAGUAGUUUUUUAUGAACACAUCUUUCUUCUAACCUUGAUGAUAGAAACUUCUUAGCACUGGUUAUUCAUUCUCCUCUUGUAUUUUCCAAAAGAGCCUCAAGUCUGAGAAACACAGUAUGUUUUUAAUAAAGUAUUAAAUGAGUAAACGAAUGAUAGAUAGUAGGUAGCACAACCUCCAUGAACAUGAACUUGGGGUUCUUCAAGCUUUGUCUCUGAUUCAAUAUAUAUUUUGAAUUUCGUCUUUAAUCCGAGAUUUUCUUGGGGUUUAAUUUAAACUGCAGUGAGCUUGGAACCACAGAGAGAUAUUUUAAGAAUUAAUGGAUCCCUGGGAAAAGUUCACAGAGUUUCUGAAAGAAAUAUUCUCUACAAAUGUCCAAGUGGAGGUAUAAGGGAAAUCCAUGAAAAAUAAACUCGAUUGAAAGUUCAGAUAUACCUAAGUGAAGGUCAAUGGGAAAUCCUGGUGAUUAUAGUCAAAUUGGAAUUCCCAGAGUCUGUGUUCACUUUUUUCUGGUUUUUCCAUAGGAUGUUCAAUGUCAUUAUCUUGAUACAGUGGAAAGAUUCCCAUAGCACUACUUUUUGUUGUUGUUGUUGUCGUCCGUAUUCUUUAAAUGUACACAUUAGGAAGAUAAAGUCUCUCUGGAUUUUAAAAUGAUAUCAUUUCUUUUCACUUGACAUUCAGUUUUCUCCUUUUAAAAGGUUUCUCAGUUUUAGUGGCACCAAGACAUUUGGUCUUAAAUAUGGUUACUAUUCUUACUCUGAAGAGUUAUUCACAAUAGUCGGAUAUUUUAACUUUGUUCUCUUAGUAAAGGGAAAUAGGCGUCCUGGGGCUUGAAGCAUACAGUUAUAUUGCAGUGAGUUGAUAGUAAAAGAUUUGCAGAAUGAUGAAAAACAAUCCUUUAUCUUAAGAAAGCUUGUUUGUUUGUUUUCUUAUUUGGGGCCAUAUCUGUGGCAUAUGGAAGUUCCCAGGCUAGAGGUCAAAUAAGAGCUGCACCUGCCAGCCUAUGCCAUAGCCACAGCAACCCAAGAUCCCAGCCACAUCUGCAAUUUACACUGCAGCUUGUGGCAGUGCUGGGUCCUUAACCAACUGAGUGAGGCUGGGGAUCAAACCCACAUUGUCAUGGAUAGUAAUCGGAUUCUUAACCUGCUGAACCAUAAGGGGAACUCCAAGAAGAAAGUUUUAUAAGUUAAUUAUUUAUGGAAGGCUACCUUCCUUACUGUGGUAUUAUCUCUGUCAGGGAAAGGAUACUAUCACAUUUAAUUUCUGUCUUUCAGGGCCUAGCAUAAGGCCUCCUUCAAUUGAAUUCACUGUAUAUUGUUGGCAGAAUUAAUUCUAAAAAAACAAUAAUGAUAACCCACAAAAUAAAUACUCAUGAUAAAAUCUGUGGAGAGAUAAAGGAAAAUUAGGAAUAAUGAUUCCCUACUAUCUUAUCAGCCAAGAGCAUACACAUACAUUUAGCAAUUAUGGAGCAGUUCCAGGCAGUGUGUAAUUAAGUGCUUGGAGAAAAUUGUGGACUAUAUUAGUUAUGGAGAUCUUUGUGGCUGAAACAGAACUGGCAUUAAGACUUGAAGGUAUCAAGUGUAGAAUUUGCCUUAGCAAAACGGAAGAGGAAAAUAAUUCCAGAAAGGAGAAUGGCAUAAGUGAAGCUGUAUAGAUAAGGGAGAGCAUGGCUGUAGGGGAAAUGUAGAGGGAAAGCUACCCUGAUUAGAAUGAUAUGUUCAAGGUGAGAAGCACUAACAGCAAAGUUCUCUGGAAGUUACAUCUGGGGAAUUUGAAUACCUACAAUAGGUAACCUGACUUGUAUGUGCAACGAUUCAUCUUUCUAGGUCCCUCAUCUUUUAAUGUGUGUGAUUAGAAGUAAAUGUCUCAUUUCUGUUAUCCUUUGGAAAUUUUCUGGGCUAUGUUAGAUUCAUUGUAAUCCCUAUAAAAUAUGAAAAUUUUCUGUGAAUGAGAAGGCAACUGGGAUUGAAGUGUAUGUGUAUGUGUGGAGGGGUGUGUGUGUGUGUGUGUGUGUGUGUGUGUGUGUGUGAAAAAGACCCUUCCAUAACCCAGGGGAAGGGGCUGACCAGACAUCUGAAGAAAGAACCUGCAAGAAUUUGGGGAAAAUGAGUCCUAGCAGAUUCCUAGUGCUUUUGACUUGUAGAGUGAAGUAAUCAGGAGGAGAAAAAGAAGAUGGAAAAGAGCAGGAAGACUAGUCCUGAAGUUUGGAUGGUAUUUCACCUAUGCGAGGAUUGUAGAGAUGAGUUUAUAUUUUAGAGGGAAGGGUUUGGGUCUCAGUGUUUUCAGGCAUAGAUCAUGGGAAGCAGAGGUAAGUUGGUGUGUGUGUGUGGGCAUAGGGGGUGGAUGUAAGAAAGGUAUUGACACCUUCUCUUUGGUAUGAAUCUAUAUCACAUUCUCUGAUACUCAGGUUCCUCAUGCAUAAAAUGAAGCUUUGACCCAGACCUCCUGGGACCCUGCGGAGCCUCUACAUUUUACAAAUCAAGUUGCUUUUUGCAUUAAACAUGUUCUUUGUCCUUUGUUUUCAAUGUCUUAGUCUCACAUCCCCAAUGAAAUUAUCAUGGGAUUCAGAAAACCCUGAUUGAGUUGAAUUGGUUUCUCUACUGAUGUCUCUCAUGCUUUUACUAACAAAUUACUAUAUAAAAGGUGAAUGGUGGUGGGCGAGCCACCUACUUUCUCAAGUCUAAGAGGGGCAGAAAAACUCAAAGCUGACUUCAGAGUUUCCCAAACACUUGUGGCCAAAGUGUCCUUAAAAUACAGUCAGGGAGCUCCCCUUGUGGCUCAGCAGGUUAAGAAUCUGACUAGUAUCUGUGAAGAUAUGGAUACUAUCCCUGGCUUCAUUUAGUGAGUUAAAGGAUCUGGCACUGCUAUGAGCUGUGGCGUAGGCCAGAAGCUGCAGAUCUGAUUCGACCCCUAGCCUAGAAACUUCCAUAUACCACAUAUACUGCCACAGGUGUGGCCAUAACAAAAAAAAAAAAAAAAAAAAAAAAA